rnacentral:rRNA from 1 species
CGCGUGGGAACGUACCUUUUGGUUCGGAACAACACAGGGAAACUUGUGCUAAUACCGGAUAAGCCCUUACGGGGAAAGAUUUAUCGCCGAAAGAUCGGCCCGCGUCUGAUUAGCUAGUUGGUAAGGUAAUGGCUUACCAAGGCGACGAUCUCUAGCUGGUUUGAGAGGAUGAUCAGCCACACUGGGACUGAGACACGGCCCAGACUCCUACGGGAGGCAGCAGUGGGGAAUAUUGCACAAUGGGGGAAACCCUGAUGCAGCCAUGCCGCGUGUGUGAAGAAGGCCUUCGGGUUGUAAAGC